CACAUACUCCCUCCGUUCCAAAUUACUCGUCUCAGAAAUGGAUGUAUCUAGAACUAAAAUACAUCUAGAUACAUCUAGAUACAUCCAUACUUGCGACAAGUAAUUCGGAACGGAGGGAGUAAUCA
rnacentral:pre_miRNA from 1 species